UGGGGAAUAUUGCGCAAUGGGGGAAACCCUGACGCAGCGACGCCGUGUGAGUGAUGAAGGUUUUCGGAUCGUAAAGCUCUGUCGGGUGGGAAGAAUAAAGGCUGUGUAAAUAAUGCAGUCUGAUGACGGUACCACCAAAGGAAGCACCGGCUAACUCCGUGCCAGCAGCCGCGGUAAUACGGAGGGUGCAAGCGUUGUUCGGAAUUAUUGGGCGUAAAGGGCGUGUAGGCGGGUAUGCAGGUCAGGUGUGAAAUCCCUCGGCUCAACCGAGGAAGUGCAUUUGAAACCGUAUAUCUUGAGUACGAGAGAGGCAGAUGGAAUUCCCAGUGUAGAGGUGAAAUUCAUAGAUAUUGGGAAGAACACCGGUGGCGAAGGCGGUCUGCUGGCUCGAUACUGACGCUGAGACGCGAAAGCGUGGGGAGCAAACA
rnacentral:rRNA from 1 species